GGGCGCAUGGUGUAGUUGGUUAUCACGCUCGCUUAGCAUUUGCUUACGUAAAGCCGCUGUGCGAGAGGUGUUGGGUUCAAUUCCCAAUGCGUCCA